UAAUAGAACUCUAGAGAAGUAUCCAGAUUCAUUCUCUCUUAAUUGAUGAAUAGAGUAAUUGAUAGAAAUGUGAACUAUCCUCUCUUUCAAUGGCUUUUGCAAAUCUUUCCUCUCUUUGUAUGUCCAGAAUUCAUUGAUGAUCUAUCUUUCUAACCUUCUAGCCUUUUCUUAGAUUGAUUCAUCUUUUUAUUUCCUUGAAACCUGUUGCAUAUCAAAUCGCUCUUUCAAUUUUCAAUUUCUGGUUCUGCUUUACUCCAUUCUUCUAUUUUAAUUGGAAGGUCUGGUGUCACAAGCUAAACAAGAAUCUCUAACAGAGUAAAUGCGGGCGAAGAGAAACAGGAAGAUGAAAUAUCAUGAAUUCUCAUGUAUACUCCAUAUGAGCAGUCUAGCAAGAUGUAUGGUUCGAGGAACUGAAGAGCUAUGCUCUUUAGGUCGUCGUUGGAACUCGCUCGACUGCUCUAAUGUUCUUUAUAGUAUGGUCUGCUAUUGCUUUGAAGUGUAGAGGUUUACUUUCUUUCAUAGAACAUGUCUGAUAAAACUUCUAUUCAAGCUUUUAAGGAAAUGGUCCUAUUCAAGCUAAUCGAUAAAGUUCCUUUGGUUCUCU